GAUGAACGCUAGCGACAGGCCUAACACAUGCAAGUCGAGGGGUAUAGUAGCAAUACUAGAGACCGGCGCACGGGUGCGUAACGCGUAUGUAACCUGCCUCACACUGGGGGAUAGCCUUCCGAAAGGGAGAUUAAUACCGCAUAAUAAUAUUGUCCUGCCUGGGAUGGUAUUUAAAGCUUCGGUGGUGUGAGAUGGACAUGCGUAUGAUUAGCUAGUUGGCGGGGUAACGGCCCACCAAGGCGACGAUCAUUAGGGGUUCUGAGAGGAAGAUCCCCCACACUGGUACUGAGACACGGACCAGACUCCUACGGGAGGCAGCAGUGAGGAAUAUUGGUCAAUGGGCGCAAGCCUGAACCAGCCAUGUCGCGUGCAGGAAGACGGCCCUAUGGGUUGUAAACUGCUUUUGUAUGGGAAGAAACGACNGGU
rnacentral:rRNA from 1 species